CUUCACCUUUGGGAAUACCAUCAAUUUUACCCCACAUGUGGAUUUAGCAAGUCCAGCAGGCUGCGGUACAAGAACAAAACGAAGAAAGCGUCUGGCAGCUCCGUCCGUCUCCGCCGGAGUCCGCCCUCCAGUCACUCCACUCUCGGCAGCUUCUCGGGGUCCACCUCACCUCCACUUCCUCUGGGCUCUGACCUUGUGAAGCCUGGACGGUGCACACUGGGAAGGAAGCCACGCUGUGCACUGCCGGCGGUGACGGUAAUAAGGUGGCGAUGCUUGCUGGUGGACGCGAGGGCCGAGGAGGAAGAGGGAGGAGAAGGGGCGAGCAGCGGCCAGCUGUGCUGUCAGCCUGUCAGGUGCCAGCUGAUCCCAGACCGAGUCCCAGUAAGGAUGACGCGUGCAUCCCUAUGCCUUAUGUUUUCCGCCCUUCUCGCCGCCUCACCUGUCAUGCAGCCCCAUGACUCGCCACACAGGGACAUCAGGUUUCAGUCAUAAAGUCUGUGGUGGAUCAUGUGAGCAAGGAUGGAGGACGGCUAGGCAGACUGGGUGGUCUCUGCCGUCAGCCUAAUAGUAUCCACAUCACUCCACUCUCCAUUUCCACCAAGGGAGGCAGUGCACCACAUCUCACACAGGACGUGCUGCACCGGUGGCGUGGCAUUGAGGGAAGCGUCUCUUUGUAUCCCUGCCCACUACUUCAUUGAACACAUGAAGGAGCUCCAGAGUUUCAAGAAAGGAGUGACACACACACUUUGCUGCACUCCAAGCUUUUGGAGGUCCAGCAGCACACUGCACACUGCUUUCAUAAAACGUGUGUGCCGAGUGCAAGACAGAGUGGCAAGGAUGGAGGAUGCUUCAACAUUGACAGCAUCAUUGCUUCAUGCUUUCUUUUUUUGUGAAAAGUAGUGCACGCAGUUUUAACCAAAAGAGUAACGGUUUAUGAGAUUUACCAGAUUUGUAAUGUAUAAAAAGUGAUAUUGCAUUAUGAAGAUUUGUUUUAAGGUUUUUGUUUAUUAGCAUGUUCUAGUUGUGUCACUCUUAACAGUCCAGAUUGUACAGACAUGAACCCUUGUCCAUUGCACUUCCUGCAGGUGGAAUUUCUGUCAGCACUAAGGUGUGUGUGUGUGUGUGCAGCUUGUGGGCAAGUGUGCCAGUCAUUCCUUGAUGUCAGUGUCUUUCAUUUAGGGAAAAAUGUUGUGUAUAAUUAGGUUUAUGUACAUUUUUGAGUGAGAAUGUUGCAUUGCUGUGACUUGUUCUGUGUGAGAUUUCAGGGGCCGUAUUCUCCACACCAUCAUAGUUAGUGAUGUGAUCAUAUACAGACAAAAUGGUGUAUUUUAGACACAAGUUCCUCUGUGACAGGCUCUAACCUUGUGACUCAUUAUAAGUGCCAAGACAGACUAAAGUGUAUUCUAGACACAAGUCCCUCUGUGACUCUUCAUGAGUGGCAAGACAAGGUUCAGUCUGUUGUAGUGCUGCCAACCACCAUCUUAAAACCCUUGUCAACAUGGUGGGAGCUUGGCUGUAUGUACCAUGGCAUGAUCCCCGACAGUUUUUAAUAUUGAUUAAUGAUAAAUAUCCAUAAUUAUUAAAUAAUGGCCUUCUUUGAUGCAGUAAUUUACCAUUAUAUAUAACUGCCGAGAGGGGUACCUACUGUCAGUUUUCCCAAAACUCAAACAAACUUUGCUGUGUGUGUGGCCUGCAUGUGUCAUGUGUUGGGCUGUCGGGCAUAAUCUUCUGUUUGUCAUGUUUGUUUUGUUUGGAUACACAGUCUAACUAUUCCCAAAGUAGUUAUAUGAUGUCAAAAUAAUUUGAAUUGUAGAAAAUUACAUCAAGGAGGUAUUUCUUUGUAUACACACAUAAAGUUGACAAGUAAUGAGCCUAAAGAUCAACAGUGGAGUGACGGUGAGGCAUUGAGUGAGACCUGAGGCUGACUGUGUAGAAUGCGGCCCCAGAAUGAUGUGUGUUUUGUAUGUUAAUGGUGACAACAUGCUGUUUGAGAGCAAUGCCAUUGUGAAAUGCUUCAUUAAUACAGAGUUGAUAGUUCCUCCUAGACUUUUGCAAUGAAAUGCUCUCAAAAUUAUUUUAGAACUUGUAGUCUUGUGCAAUGAAAGUGCUCUCAAAAUACUACACUUAUGUUCUUAUAUUCAUUUUGUUUAUGUUAUAUUAGACAAAUGUAUGGAUGGCAAUGAUAGGUGGAGUGAGGCAGACCUGUUCACUGUUCAUACAGGGACUGCUGCCAUGUAUGUGCAGGCUCAUGGUCCCUCUUGCAACUUUCCUCAUUUUUGUUUCUCCAAUACUUUUGAAAUAAUUUUGCAAGUUGAAAAUAUUCACAGAGUAAUGUAAUAUCUGAAAAAAUUGUGAAGUUCAAAAUUUUAAAAAAUUGUACAAAUUCUGCUGUUCCAGUGUAAAAAUUGUACAAAUUGUGCUGUUCCAGUGUAAAAAUUAUUCUAAGUUGAAAAUUGUAAAAAUUUUCUUGUGUACAAAUUGUGGUAUUCCACUGUGAAAAGUGUAAAAAUUGUACAAAUUGUGCUGUUCCAGUGUAAAAAUUAUUCUAAGUUGAAAAUUGUAAAAAUGUUCUAGUGUACAAAUUGUGGUAUUCCACUGUGAAAAUUCUAAGUUGAAAAUUUUGGUAGAGUUUUCAGGGACUUGUGUAAAAAUGUGUUCACUGAAUAAAAGUGAAGGAA